rnacentral:misc_RNA from 1 species
UUAACUAUUAUAUAGUACUCUGACGACAGUGAUAAAGGUUUUAGUUUCCUCUGUCCGGCGCUGACCAGCCCGAAGGCCGGCGGACCCGAGGGUCGGGCCAGACAAAGCAACAAUGUUUGGUUAACAAAGGGUGGGAGAUCUACCCGUUAGGGCAAGUUCUCAUUAAUGAUCCCUCCGCAGGUUCACCUACGGAGA